UACAGAGGGUGCUAGCGUUGUUCGGAAUUAUUGGGCGUAAAGGGCGCGUAGGCGGCCCUGUGUGUCGGGUGUGAAAGCCCACCUCUUAAAGGUGGAAUUGCAUUCGAAACUACAGGGCUGGAGUGUCGGAGAGGAUGGCGGAAUUCCUGGUGUAGAGGUGAAAUUCGUAGAUAUGGGGAGGAACACCGGUGGCGAAGGCGGCUCUCUGGUACGUGACGUGACGCUGAGACGCGAAAGCGUGGGGAGCGAACAGG
rnacentral:rRNA from 1 species